UCGGGAAUUUUGGGCAAUGGGCGAAAGCCUGACCCAGCAACGCCGCGUGAGGGAUGAAGUAUUUCGGUAUGUAAACCUCGAAAGAAUGGGAAGAAUAAAUGACGGUACCAUUUAUAAGCUCCGGCUAACUACGUGCCAGCAGCCGCGGUAAUACGUAGGGAGCAAGCGUUGUUCGGAUUUACUGGGCGUAAAGGGCGCGUAGGCGGCGCGGUAAGUCACUUGUGAAAUCUCUGAGCUUAACUCAGAACGGCCAAGUGAUACUGCUGUGCUAGAGUGCGGGAGAGGCAACCGGAAUUCUUGGUGUAGCGGUGAAAUGCGUAGAUAUCAAGGGGAACACCUGAGGCGAAGGCGGGUUGCUGGGCCGACACCGACGCUGAUGCGCGAAAGCCAGGGGAGCAAACG
rnacentral:rRNA from 1 species